CCGAUAUUGACGCUCAGGCACGAAAGCGUGGGGAGCGAACAGGAUUAGAUACCCUGGUAGUCCACGCCGUAAACUAUGAUCACUCGUUGUUGGCAAUACACAGUCAGUGACCAAGCGAAAGCGAUAAGUGAUCCACCUGGGGAGUACGAUCGCAAGGUUGAAACUCAAAGGAAUUGACGGGGGCCCGCACAAGCGGUGGAGCAUGUGGUUUAAUUCGAUGAUACGCGAGGAACCUUACCUGGGCUCAAAUGUAAGUUGACAGUUUCUGAAAGGGAAUUUUCUUCGGACAAUUUACAAGGUGCUGCAUGGUUGUCGUCAGCUCGUGCCGUGAGGUGUCGGGUUAAGUCCCAUAACGAGCGCAACCCCUACUCUUAGUUGCCAUCAGAUAAUGCUGGGGACUCUAGGACAACUGCCUACGCAAGUAGAGAGGAAGGUGGGGAUGACGUCAAAUCAGCACGGCCCUUACGUCCAGGGCUACACACGUGCUACAAUGGCCGGUACAGAGGGCAGCCACCUGGUGACAGGGAGCGAAUCUCUAAAGCCGGUCUCAGUUCGGAUCGAAGUCUGCAACCCGACUUCGUGAAGCUGGAAUCGCUAGUAAUCGCGCAUCAGCCAUGGCGCGGUGAAUACGUUCCCGGGCCUUGUACACACCGCCCGUCAAGCCAUGGAAGCUGGGGGUACCUGAAGUCGGUGACCAUUUAGGAGCCGCCUAGGGUAAAACUAGUGACUGGGGCUAAGUCGUAACAAGGUA
rnacentral:rRNA from 1 species